rnacentral:rRNA from 1 species
UAUUAUACCAAUAAAUAUACAAAAUCUUAGACUAUUAAUAGAUAUGUUCUUUAAAUUUGAAGAAUUUGGCGGUGGCUUAGUCUUGUUAGAGGAGCCUGUUUUUGAAUCGAUACACCACGCAUGAUCUUACUCACUUUAUUUAGUUUGUAUACCGUCAUUAUCAGACAAUCUUAAAAAGGUAAAUAGUUGGGUUUUAAAAAAUGUAAAUUAAAUUAGAUCAAGGUGCAGCUUAUAAGUGAGUUAAAAUGGGCUACAAUAAAACUUAUUUAUUAUGGAGUAAUAACGAGAAAUUAAAUUAUGAAGGUGGAUUUAAUUGUAAUAGAAGUUUAACAAGCUAAAAAGAUAUAAGCUCUAAGCCAU